CGGUUCAAACCGGUGCCAACUUAUUUUAAAAAAAAAUAAAUAAAUAUGGCAUAGAGUUUGCACCGGUUCGCCUUAAACCGGUGCCAACUAUAUUAAUUAGCACCGGUUCAAACCGGCGCCAUAUUUUAGAAAAAAAAAACCCGGGUUAGGUUAUUCCAACGUUGCGCCUUUCUUUUUCAAUUCCUUCUCCUUUCUCCUUCUACCUUUCCCCAUUUCCCCCUUGACUCCACUACGCACCCCUUUCCACCGACACCACACUCUAUCUUCAUUCUUCACGGCAUCAAGGCGAUGUGACGGUGGUCGUGAUUGGUUGUUGGAUUUUUAGAGUCACAGCUCCUUGCAAAGCCAAACCCUAGAUUUUCCUCCUAUUCAAUUUCUCUCACUUCAAUUCGCCUCGCCCAGUCGCCCUCGCCUCGCCGUGACGCCGUCGCCCGUUCGCCGGAAGUUCGCCUCGACCAGCACGCAGCCACGCAGUGACCUGGUUGGCUGGAACUUCGACAGCCUUCGUCAAUCGUCAUUCGCCUUCGUGAGUUCGUGACUGUUCGUGUUAGCAGAGCAGCAGCAGGCAGCAGUUUGGUGAUGGUGACUUGGUGUUCGACACUUCUACAGCCUUCAAUUGCCUAAGUUUACUUGGCCAAUUCACCCAAAUCAAUUAAUCAAUGGAGAUUAGGGUAAGAGUGUUAAGGCCGAAACAAGCAGCUUUAGUGUUGAAAGUUCAAAGCCUCAAAGGAGGAGCAUACCAUCUGCUUCAUCGGCUUUGGUUAUUGGUGCAAUCCUCGGACUUCUUCAAGCGAUUUUUCUCAUUUCUCUAGCAAAACCAUUAUUGAACUAUAUGGGUGUCAAACCUGACUCAACUAUGCUACCCCCGGCUCAAAAGUACUUGACAUUGAGGUCACUUGGUGCACCUGCCGUUCUUCGAAGCUGGAGAUGGAUUUGAUAAGAACAGAAAGACACCUCCUAAAAGAAAUGGGUUUCAUUUGUCAUGUUGAGCACCCGCACAAAUUCAUAUCAAACUACCUAGCUGUCCUUGAACUUAAAGAACCUUUAGAGUUAAGGCAAGAUGCUUGGAAUCUAGCAAAUGAUAGUUUUGACAGACCGACUUUCACGUUGGAGGUACCGUAUCAAAUGUUCAACAUAAUUCAUGGAAACAAGAAACAUCAUAUAGAGUUAUAGACGAAGGGAAAUCAUGUGAAAGCUGCCCCUCCAACUCUUCCAUCUGAGCCACCUGCUACUCGUGGGACCAGUUCCCAAGCUGCUUCGAAAAUCACAUAUAGAUAAGUGGGAAGAUAUUGACAGGAAAAUCAAUAAGAAAAAGUCUAGUAAGUGAAGCAAAAGGGUGUGUUGUUGCUGCUGUAAUUGUUGGAAUAACAAAACCUGGUUCUAUUGGGUAACAAAACCUGGUUCUUAUUGCACAAAUAUAUAAUUUUUCGUUCCUUGCUUUGAUUUUUUUUUUGGACAAAAAUUGUAAUAUUACAGCCUUUUUAAUGA